UACGGAGGGAGCUAGCGUUGUUCGGAAUUACUGGGCGUAAAGCGCACGUAGGCGGCUUUGUAAGUUAGAGGUGAAAUCCCAGGGCUCAACCCUGGAACUGCCUUUAAUACUGGGUAUCUCGAGUCCGAGAGAGGUGAGUGGAAUUCCGAGUGUAGAGGUGAAAUUCGUAGAUAUUCGGAGGAACACCAGUGGCGAAGGCGGCUCACUGGCUCGGUACUGACGCUGAGGUGCGAAAGCGUGGGGAGCAAACAGG
rnacentral:rRNA from 1 species